rnacentral:tRNA from 1 species
GCCUUAGCUCAGCUGGGAGAGCGCCUGCUUUGCACGCAGGAGGUCAUCGGUUCGAUCCCGAUAGGCUCCACCA